rnacentral:lncRNA from 1 species
AUGCAGCGAAACCAGACACAGCACUGGGCUGUGCGCCGCUUUGUGUCCCAGCCUCAGGUCUCCGAUGCAGCACCUGGAAGGGAGGAGGGGGCUCAGGUCGUGGGGCCUGUCUGGCACCCAUGUGGUGCUGGAGAUCCUGACGUCAUGCUGAGGCCGCCACUGGCAUGGAGGAGCCCAGCCCUUACAGGAGUCCCUGGAACCUCCAACUGGAUAAAUCCCAAAGCACUGAGUUCCCUUCCAACUUUCCAACUCCCCCAGAUUCUCCUUUGGAAGACACUGGGGUCAGUACUUCUGUCUCUCGCGGGCGCCCACUCACCUUCCAAAUGGGGUGCACGAGCUCCAAAGUCGCUUCUCAAGCGAGUUCUAAGAACAUGGCUCCACUGCCCUCCCCAAACCACACCCCGGCCCCGACACCCCCACCCCCCACCCCGGCUGCGGGCCAAGGGGCUGCUUUGCUCUGGGAGUCAGGCAGCCUGCUUGAUCAAGAUGCGCCUUCUCCGUCUGGACAAAGCUUAGGGCCUGCGGGGCUGCCCCGCUGCCCUGCCUCCUCGCGCUGGGCCCUUUUCCUCCUAGGAAACCCACGCUGA